UGUAAAAGUAAAUGGAACUAGCGAGUUGUCCAUGGGGAUCCACUGGCUCUACAUUGGGUCGUGUUUAUAAAAUAGGUAGCUGACAUUUUUCAAGG